GUUGCCAGCGGUUCGGCCGGGGCACUCUAACGGGACUGCCCGCGAAAGCGGGAGGAAGAGGGACGACGUCUGGUCAGCAUGGCCCUUACGGCCUGGGCGACACACGUGCUACAAUGCCCACUACAAAGCGAUGCCACCCGGCAACGGGGAGCUAAUCGCAAAAAGGUGGGCCCAGUUCGGAUUGGGGUCUGCAACCCGACCCCAUGAAGCCGGAAUCGCUAGUAAUCGCGGAUCAGCCAUGCCGCGGUGAAUACGUUCCCGGGCCUU
rnacentral:rRNA from 1 species